ACAGUCCAGACCCCAAUCAAAGAGACUCACCCUCUCCCGAUGGCGCUUAACUCGGUACUGCAUCAGCUGCUCUUCCAAGCGCUUCCGGGCCUGCAGUCGGACCUGCUCCUCCUUUUCUAAGGGCAAGGAAGAUGCAGUGGAACCUGGAGGGAAAUGGCCAUUGAGAGGUUAAUAGGAAGCAGGGUACAGAAAACACGUUGGAAAUCAUCUAGGCUCAAGACAUUUUGCUGUACGACAUAGCCCCACACCGUCAGCUUUACCAAAGGUCUCUAUUUACUAAAAGGUGCAAGGAUUGUGGUCCCACAUCGUCACCCUUUAUUAAAGGGUACAGGGAUUCUGCAUUUCAGAUACAAGUUACAAGUGGUUAAUACCACUUUCUGUGUGUAGAUUGCUAAACAAAAUGAGUUAUGAGCAGCAUACUACACUUAAAAUCUAAAAGCAAGAAGAUCCAAUAUGUAUGAAGACUUUGUUUCCAAACACAAGCUUAAAUAUAAACAUCAUGACAAACAGAAGACAAAAAUGGCUACAUCAUCUUACAAGAUGCUUGAGAGGUAGAAGGGACUCAACUCAGGGCUUCAUACCUGCCAGGUUCAAUGUCUCAGAAAUGGCUGGAAGUCAAACCAAGCAAUACCAUGAUUCCUAAGAGGACGAAGAGCAAAAUGCAUUGCGAAGCAAUGUGUUAGAUUUUAAGUAACAGCUACAAGGCUCCUAAUUUGUAUAGAAAACAAAUACAGAUUUCUGCCUCACCAUCAAUCCCUGAGUACCUACAGCAUCCUAGGUUUUGAGGGGGAAAUAUCAAACCAGCAACACGUUAGCCCUUUCCUAAGGUGCCCCUCCUGGUGCCAGCUAUAAGAAGUUUUACCAUAAAUGAUUCUCCAAGGUUUUUAAAAAAGUGCUUGUAAUCUGUUGUAGUUGUCCACGUGGCAACUGAGGAACUGAACUUUAAAUUUUAUUUAAGUUUAUUUUGAAUGUAAAUAAACAUUUGUGG